GACGAACGCUGGCGGCGUGCUUAACACAUGCAAGUCGAACGGGAUUUAGUAGACAGAAGCCUCGGCUAAAGAUUACUAAUGAGAGUGGCGAACGGGUGAGUAACGCGUGAGCAACCUGCCUAUGACAGUGGGAUAGCUUCGUGAAACCGGGAUUAAUACCGCAUAAAAUCGUAGAAACACAUGUUUUAACGGUCAAAGAUUUAUCGGUCAUAGAUGGGCUCGCGUCUGAUUAGCUAGUUGGUGAGAUAACAGCCCACCAAGGCGACGAUCAGUAGCCGGUCUGAGAGGAUGAACGGCCACAUUGGAACUGAGACACGGUCCAAACUCCUACGGGAGGCAGCAGUGGGGAAUAUUGCACAAUGGGGGAAACCCUGAUGCAGCGACGCCGCGUGAACGAAGAAGGUAUGCGUAUCGUAAAGUUCUGUCCUAUGGGAAGAUAAUGACAGUACCAUAGAAGAAAGCUCCGGCUAAAUACGUG
rnacentral:rRNA from 1 species